rnacentral:rRNA from 1 species
GACGAACGCUGGCGGCGUGCUUAACACAUGCAAGUCGAACGGAAAGGCCCUGCUUUUGUGGGGUGCUCGAGUGGCGAACGGGUGAGUAACACGUGAGUAACCUGCCCUUGACUUUGGGAUAACUUCAGGAAACUGGGGCUAAUACCGGAUAGGAGCUCCUGCUGCAUGGUGGGGGUUGGAAAGUUUCGGCGGUUGGGGAUGGACUGGCGGCUUAUCAGCUUGUUGGUGGGGUAGUGGCUUACCAAGGCUUUGACGGGUAGCCGGCCUGGGAGGGUGACCGGCGACAUGGGGACUGAGAUACGGCCCAGACUCCUACGGGAGGCAGCAGUGGGGAAUAUUGCACAAUGGGCGGAAGCCUGAUGCAGCAACGCCGCGUGCGGGAUGACGGCCUUCGGGUUGUAAACCGCUUUCGCCGGUGACGAAGCGUGAGUGACGGUAAUGAGUAAAGAAGCACCGGCUAACUACGUG